UUGACGGCUGUCCCGCAGACCAACACCCUUUUUGUGUGCCGUUUGCUUCGGCGCUCACGACUGUUGCGCCCUCCUAGGCCUCGAUACUCUUCUACUUGGGACGUCUCCUGCGUAUUGUCUCUCUUUAAUUCCUGGCCUCCUAACUCAGACCUCUCCUAACGGCAAUUGUCAGCCAAAUUGGGCUCCCUCUUUUGCAUAAUUUCAUGCAAACGGGUUUCGG